UUUGGAAGACUAGUUGAAGUUGAUGAAGACAAACUAAAGGCACUGAUUGAAGCAAAUCGAUGAAUAACAACUCGAGAAAUUGCUACGAGAUUGAAUUUGUCGAAUCCGAUUGUUCACGAUCACGUAAAACGACUUGGUGUUUCAUUGUCAUAAGAAAACGAAAUUAUUUUUCGAACAACCCAAUAUAUAUAUAUUCAUUUAUAAUUUCAAUUGUUCUUUCGAUAUUAUAAUUUACGUGUAACCUGUUUUUGUAGAAGAUUAAAAUUUGAAGUUUGCAUCCAUCAUAUGAGAUGAGAUACAUCGGUGGAACAAAUAGAGAGAGAAGACUUAGGCAAGAAGGUUAAAGAAGAUUCUUCGUUCAGACUUGGUGCUUAAACUUGUCUCUGAACGCUUUAAUUACGGUGGCGGAUGGCGACAGUGGGAAGAAGUAGAAGAAAGGGCGAGGAACAGGAAAAUAUUGCACGAGGCAACAGGCGUGAAAUUAUUCGCAGGCCGGAAUAGAUCAGAAACAGAAGGAUGCGGGACGGUUGCCGGAAAAUAAGGGAAAAUGAUGGUCGGCCGGCCGUUUAUCGAUUAACAAUGAGGAAUUUUACAAAGGGAUAAUAGGAGAUCGUGAAAGGGAAUUAAAUAUUCCUAUAUACAGGAUGCCCCAGUUCUUUUUCUCUUUGUCAAAACUUUCGACGUCCUCAAGUGUGAAUAAGAAGAGGAUAGAGGAUGCAUUCUUAUCUAAAAAUCUAGAAGAAUCUAGUCUAUCAACAGUUAAUCCUAAUCUUUUUUUUUCAGACAUCACACCUUUUUUUAUAAUAAAUUUAAAUACAGUUAAGAGCAAGAUGAAUCAAUCUUCUUGCGCACCUACGUAGAAAAUUACGAAACUUUAAAUGAAGUUCGUCGAGAUCGUUAAAGCGGACUGCCUUGUUUUAUAUACCGGAUGUUUUUAUUUACAUUAAGUUAACGAAUAAUAGAUAUUAGGCGAUCAAUCGAUCAAUGGAAUAUAUAAGAGCAUCUUAGACGGAAAGACACGAUGUUUUCUUUUCCAAAGUUAGUUUUUACUCACGUUAUGAUCACUUUAUUUACUCUGCACGUACUAUACUAUAGUUAGUUGUUCAAAACUUUCUA